rnacentral:rRNA from 1 species
UACAGAGGGUGCAAGCGUUAAUCGGAAUUACUGGGCGUAAAGCGCGCGUAGGCGGUUCGUUAAGUCUGUUGUGAAAUCCCUGGGCUCAACCUGGGAAUGGCGAUGGAUACUGGCGAGCUAGAGUAUGAGAGAGGUGGGUAGAAUUCCAGGUGUAGCGGUGAAAUGCGUAGAUAUCUGGAGGAAUACCGGUGGCGAAGGCGGCCCACUGGCUCAAUACUGACGCUGAGGUGCGAAAGCGUGGGGAGCAAACAGG